rnacentral:lncRNA from 1 species
GAAAGCACAGCAAAUGCAUCCAGGAUUUAAUAUGAGCGACGUGAAAUCUUCCUGCAUCGAGAGGAUGUUGCUGUAGUCAAUCCAGCGUUUCUCCAAUAGGCAAGAAGAUUGUUUUGUUUUCCUCGGCAGGCGGACUCAGCCAUUGCACAGGCAGAUUUUGAUAAGAGUUUGAAAUGCCUACUACUGUACCAUUGUAGAAUUUGGAGUUUGCUAACAGUAUUAGAGACUGGAGCUCAUCUUGCAUCACCAGUUGAUGACAAUUUUCUUUGUUCCCUCCCACCCAGUUGAACCAAGACUCUGUAGCUGAUACGCAAUGUCACUUACAACAUUAAUCAGAUACUGCAUUUAAGUUUCAGGAAACCUUGGAUUGAGGACGUUGGGUUUUUUUUUCCCCACUCCUGCUCUCCCUAUUGAUAAACCCGGUUCUCCUGAUCAUGGUCUAUUCGAGCUGCUUCCCAUCUGAUUUUUCACAACUGCUUCAAAAAAAUUACCAAGACGACCACGAAUAGAACUUAUCUCCAUUGCUUUACAUAAAAAUGGCUGGGUGUAUUGCCAUGCUAACACUGCUCUAAGUGAUACAUGCAGGCUGAUACACAGUAGCCAUACCGUUCACAAAAUCCCAGAGAUGGUUUUGCUGAAAAUACUGGUCGAUACCACUUUUUAAAGACCCUAACAGAAGAGCAACCUAAUUUUGGGUGAGUAAGUUUAUGCGUUGAUUAUAGCAAGCUGAAAUCUCAUUAAACUCACACAGAAAUAAUGCUAAAAUAUUUAACACUUUAAAGCCACUGUAUUACAUGAUCG